AGUGAACGCUGGCGGUAGGCCUAACACAUGCAAGUCGAACGGCAGCACAGGAGAGCUUGCUCUCUGGGUGGCGAGUGGCGGACGGGUGAGGAAUACAUCGGAAUCUACUUUUUCGUGGGGGAUAACGUAGGGAAACUUACGCUAAUACCGCAUACGACCUACGGGUGAAAGCAGGGGAUCUUCGGACCUUGCGCGAUUGAAUGAGCCGAUGUCGGAUUAGCUAGUUGGCGGGGUAAAGGCCCACCAAGGCGACGAUCCUUAGCUGGUCUGAGAGGAUGAUCAGCCACACUGGAACUGAGACACGGUCCAGACUCCUACGGGAGGCAGCAGUGGGGAAUAUUGGACAAUGGGCGCAAGCCUGCUCCAGCCAUACCGCGUGGGUGAAGAAGGCCUUCGGGUUGUAAAGCCCUUUUGUUGGGAAAGAAAUCCAGCUGGUUAAUACCCGGUUGGGAUGACGGUACCCAAAGAAUAAGCACCGGCUAACUUCGUGCCAGCAGCCGCGGUAA
rnacentral:rRNA from 1 species